rnacentral:pre_miRNA from 1 species
GGCUGUGAACUGGUUUAAUCUCAGCUGGCAACUGUGAGCAGUUAAUAACUCUCUCACAGUGGUAUCUGGGAUUAUGCUAAACACAGCA